AGAGUUUGAUCCUGGCUGAGAGUGAACGCUGGCGGCGUGCUUAACACAUGCAAGUCGAACGAGAACGGGUUAAAGCUUGCUUUAACUGUCAGCUAAGUGGCGCACGGGUGAGUAAUAUAUAGGUAACGUGCCUUCAAGAAGGGGAUAACAAUUGGAAACGAUUGCUAAUACCCUAUAUGCCUUUAAGUCUUAAGACUGCAAGGGAAAUAUUUAUAGCUUGAAGAUCGGCCUGUACAGUAUCAGUUAGUUGGUGAGGUAAUGGCUCACCAAGACAAUGACGCUUAACUGGUUUGAGAGGAUGAUCAGUCACACUGGAACUGAGACACGGUCCAGACUCCUACGGGAGGCAGCAGUGGGGAAUAUUGCACAAUGGACGAAAGUCUGAUGCAGCAACGCCGCGUGGAGGAUGACACAUUUCGGUGCGUAAACUCCUUUUAUAUAGGAAGAUAAUGACGGUACUAUAUGAAUAAGCACCGGCUAACUCCGUGCCAGCAGCCGCGGUAAUACGGAGGGUGCAAGCGUUACUCGGAAUCACUGGGCGUAAAGAGAAUGUAGGCGGGUAGAUAAGUUUGAAGUGAAAUCCAAUGGCUCAACCAUUGAACUGCUUUGAAAACUGUUUACCUAGAAUAUGGGAGAGGUAGAUGGAAUUUCUGGUGUAGGGGUAAAAUCCGUAGAGAUC
rnacentral:rRNA from 1 species